GACGUAGGGGGCAAGCGUUGUCCGGAAUGAUUGGGCGUAAAGCGUCCGCAGGUGGUAUUUCAAGUCUGCUGUUAAAAAGUUUGGCUCAACCAAAUAAGGGCAGUGGAAACUGAAGAACUAGAGUGCGUUCGGGGUAGAGGGAAUUCCUGGUGUAGCGGUGAAAUGCGUAGAGAUCAGGAAGAACACCGGUGGCGAAAGCGCUCUACUAGGCCGCAACUGACACUGAGGGACGAAAGCUAGGGGAGCGAAUGGG
rnacentral:rRNA from 1 species